GUGUGUAUAUAUAUGAAAGGGUAGCCGUGAUAUUGGCCUGGUUCACUCAGACAAACCGGUUUAUUUGCUUUUAUUAGAGCAAAGUUCCAGGUUUUUUUGUUUUGGUUUGAUUGAGCCGUGCCAAUAUCUCGUUUCUCUUUCAUUUUUCCAAGACUCAC
rnacentral:pre_miRNA from 1 species